UGGUGGUUUGAAUUGUCUCCUCAAUUGGGAUAACGAACGAGACUCUGUCCUGCUAAAUAGGUUCAGCCUUUACAUUGGGUUGUAACUUCUUCUUAGAGGGACCGGCGAUCCUCAGUCGCACGAGAUUGAGCAAUAACA
rnacentral:rRNA from 1 species